UGUCAAUGAUGAUUAACAAUAAGGCUUGUUUCUCAAGAACAUUCGCAGUAGCCGCCUAAGAGCUUUCGCCUUUCGCCGGGCUUGAGAGUUUAUGCUGUUCUACUUCCUUGGAUGUCUGAGCCA
rnacentral:snoRNA from 1 species